rnacentral:misc_RNA from 1 species
AAGUCGUAACAAGGUUUCCGUAGGUGAACCUACGGAAGGAUCAUUAAAGAAUUCGGCUUCGCGGCCAAGUUCUCACCCUUUGUAUACCGAAACUAUGUUGCUUUGGCAGGCCCCUGCAUUUCUUCGGCCUGGCCAGCAGGUGAUAACCACUAGAAUCUCUGCUGUCUGAGUACUAUGCAAUAGUUAAAA